rnacentral:rRNA from 1 species
ACUCAAAGGAAUUGACGGGGGCCCGCACAAGCGGUGGAGCAUGUGGUUUAAUUCGACGCAACGCGAAGAACCUUACCUAGGCUCGAAAUGGGAGUGACCAGCUUAUGAAAGUAGGCCUUCCCGCAAGGGACACUCUUAUAGGUGCUGCAUGGCUGUCGUCAGCUCGUGUCGUGAGAUGUUGGGUUAAGUCCCGCAACGAGCGCAACCCUUGUCCUGUGUUGCCAUACCGCAAGGUGGAACUCGCAGGAGACCGCCAGGGAUAACCUGGAGGAAGGUGGGGAUGACGUCAAGUCCUCAUGGCCUUUAUGUCUAGGGCUACACACGUGCUACAAUGGACGGUACAAAGGGCUGCCAACCCGCGAGGGGGAGCCAAUCCCAAAAAACCGUUCUCAGUUCGGAUUGCAGGCUGCAACUCGCCUGCAUGAAGCUGGAAUCGCUAGUAAUGGUGGAUCAGAACGCCACCGUGAAUACGUUCCCGGGCCUUGCACACACCGCCCGU